GACGAACGCUGGCGGCGUGCCUAAUACAUGCAAGUAGAACGCUGAAGGAGGAGCUUGCUUCUCUGGAUGAGUUGCGAACGGGUGAGUAACGCGUAGGUAACCUGCCUGGUAGCGGGGGAUAACUAUUGGAAACGAUAGCUAAUACCGCAUAAGAGUAGAUGUUGCAUGACAUUUACUUAAAAGGUGCAAUUGCAUCACUACCAGAUGGACCUGCGUUGUAUUAGCUAGUUGGUGAGGUAACGGCUCACCAAGGCAACGAUACAUAGCCGACCUGAGAGGGGGAUCGGCCACACUGGGACUGAGACACGGCCCAGACUCCUACGGGAGGCAGCAGUAGGGAAUCUUCGGCAAUGGACGGAAGUCUGACCGAGCAACGCCGCGGGAGUGAAGAAGGUUUUCGGAUCGUAAAGCUCUGUUGUAAGAGAAGAACGAGUGUGAGAGUGGAAAGUUCACACUGUGACGGUAUCUUACCAGAAAGGGACGGCUAACUACGUG
rnacentral:rRNA from 1 species